GAGUACACGUGAGGUAACCUACCUAUAAGACUGGGAUAACUUCGGGAAACCGGAGCUAAUACCGGAUAAUAUUUCGAACCGCAUGGUUCGAUAGUGAAAGAUGGCUCUGCUAUCACUUAUAGAUGGACCUGCGCCGUAUUAGCUAGUUGGUAAGGUAACGGCUUACCAAGGCAACGAUACGUAGCCGACCUGAGAGGGUGAUCGGCCACACUGGAACUGAGACACGGUCCAGACUCCUACGGGAGGCAGCAGUAGGGAAUCUUCCGCAAUGGGCGAAAGCCUGACGGAGCAACGCCGCGUGAGUGAUGAAGGUCUUCGGAUCGUAAAACUCUGUUAUUAGGGAAGAACAAACGUGUAAGUAACUGUGCACGUCUUGACGGUACCUAAUCAAAAAGCCACGGCUAACUACGUGCCAGCAGCCGCGGUAAUACAUAGGUGGCAAGCGUUAUCCGGAAUUAUUGGGCGUAAAGC
rnacentral:rRNA from 1 species